GAGAGAGGCAAGCUAGCAACGAAGAUUGCUAAUUUUCGCUCCCCUGGUUGAAAUCCAGGGCUCACUCA
rnacentral:tRNA from 1 species